ACGACUUGCAUUGCGAGCGGACGUGUUGAAACGGUGCGGAAGCGAAGCGAUUGUCAAAACUAAACAGAAAACAUAGCGAACGUCGAGUUAUUUCAGUGUGUUUGUGCGAGUGAGUGCAAGUGUAUGAGUGGCUCGCGAAUAAUUCGCCUGCAGCACCCGAUUCGUCCAAGCAUUUGGGAGCUACUAGUGCCAGCCGUUUACUCCGCGCGCGGUACUUGUAUUCAUUUUAGCGUUUCUGUUGCUUUUUGAUUAAAGGCCUCCCAACAACAACAACAGCAACAGCUACAUCAGCUGAAGAAAAAAUACAAAAAGAAGAAAGAGAAAAAGAAAGGAAAGCAAAACCAAACAAAACAAAGCUGUACCAACAACCGCAACAACAAGCAAGAAGUGUCUGUGUGCCAAGUGCUAGCUUUAAAUUAUUGUUGGUUGCGGCACUUUUUUGGAAAUUAAAUUAUGUUAAGUGCAUAAAUCGUUCGUCGCAUCAGCAGCGGCAGCAGCAGCAACAACAAAAACAACAACAAAAUAAGCAACAGCAGCCGAAGAAGUAAAGUGAAACGCCAAGGUGCAAGCACAAAUUUGUUGCAGUGCCAAGAGCUGAAGAACUAAAUAAGUUGCAAUGUGAAGAGCGCUCGUGGGACAAGUGAAAACUGCGCGGUAGCCCAAGGAGAAGCAAAAAACGUGAAGAGCACAAACUCGCUGAGCGCUGUCAGAAAAGUUGUCAAGGAGCCGAGCCAGUAGCUAGCAGGAGUAGCAGCUGCUGUGACGAUUGACAACACAAAAACAAAAGCAGCCACGGCGAGAGUUUGACAAGUGGCACAAGUGGCAGCAGCGCCCAAAAGUACGCAGCUACUUUUUGUUUUGCUUUGCAGCUUACGACAUUUUAUUUUCUCGUCUUGUUGUUGUUGCCCCAAAAGCCAAGAAAGCAGGAGGCGCACAGAGACCACCCACGCAGCCACACAGUCGAUGGCCGCGUAGCUUUUGUAUGCGGCUCGCAUGCCGUGGCAACA